rnacentral:rRNA from 1 species
GGAUGAACGCUGGCGGCGUGCCUACUCCAUGCAAGUCGAGCGAACAGAUAAGGAGCUUGCUCCUUUGACGUUAGCGGCGGACGGGUGAGUAACACGUGGGUAACCUACCUAUAAGACUGGAAUAACUCCGGGAAACCGGGGCUAAUGCCGGAUAACAUUUAGAACCGCAUGGUUCUAAAGUGAAAGAUGGUUUUGCUAUCACUUAUAGAUGGACCCGCGCCGUAUUAGCUAGUUGGUAAGGUAACGGCUUACCAAGGCAACGAUACGUAGCCGACCUGAGAGGGUGAUCGGCCACACUGGAACUGAGACACGGUCCAGACUCCUACGGGAGGCAGCAGUAGGGAAUCUUCCGCAAUGGGCGAAAGCCUGACGGAGCAACGCCGCGUGAGUGAUGAAGGUCUUCGGAUCGUAAAACUCUGUUAUUAGGGAAGAACAAAUGUGUAAGUAACUGUGCACGUCUUGACGGUACCUAAUCAGAAAGCCACGGCUAACUACGUG